rnacentral:rRNA from 1 species
GAUGAACGCUGGCGGCGUGCUUAACACAUGCAAGUCGAACGAAACACCUUAUUUGAUUUUCUUCGGAACUGAAGAUUUGGUGAUUGAGUGGCGGACGGGUGAGUAACGCGUGGGUAACCUACCCUGUACAGGGGGAUAACAGUCAGAAAUGACUGCUAAUACCGCAUAAGACCACAGCACCGCAUGGUGCAGGGGUAAAAACUCCGGUGGUACAGGAUGGACCCGCGUCUGAUUAGCUGGUUGGUGAGGUAACGGCUCACCAAGGCGACGAUCAGUAGCCGGCUUGAGAGAGUGAACGGCCACAUUGGGACUGAGACACGGCCCAAACUCCUACGGGAGGCAGCAGUGGGGAAUAUUGCACAAUGGGGGAAACCCUGAUGCAGCGACGCCGCGUGAGUGAAGAAGUAUCUCGGUAUGUAAAGCUCUAUCAGCAGGGAAGAAAAUGACG